CGCCAAGGGUGGUGUCGGGGCCUCCCGCCCAGGCCGCCGCGGUCGGCUCGAGGCACCGACGCGGCCCCACCUUGCACUGGCUCCUCAGUAACACCGCAUCCCCCCCACCCGUCCACUCUGGCCACCCGACAGGGGCUGGCAACCUGGGUCCUGGAACGGGGGUGGGAGGGUCCUCGCCUCCCGGGGCCAGGCCAUCUAAAUGUGGAAAAUUCUGCAUGCGUACGUGUGUGUCCGAGAGGAUGUAACAGCCGCACAUCAGCCCCGAGGUACCCACACCUUACAUUCAAUAUGUCACCUAAUCCUCGCUGCCAUCUAGAGAGCUGCACAGACCUGUUCAAAGGCCACUAAGCCACGUGUGACUACUGAACACUUGAACUGUGGGUAGUCUGAAUUGAGAUGUGCUGUAAGUGUAAAAGAGUCACUGGAUUGCAUGGACUCACUCGGAAAAGGAGGCUCAAAGAGCUGACUAGCUACAAAGCUAGUAAGUGAAGUCAUCUGGAUUCCUUCUACAAAGACAAAGCCCAGUUCCCAUUUCUUGGGCUGUUCAUGAGCAGACAGAGCCUUCCAUUUCCCUUCCAGAGAAUGGCCCUGCUCCGGGUAACUUCACGGAUAACACAGCGCCAUAAAGAUUUUCUGGAGGUAAUUGCUUCUUGGUCUUUGUUGUUUCCUUCAAGAUGGGGAUUUGGGGCCAAGUAGGCAUAGAAGAUGUGACCUGGAAGGGAUAAUAUUGGGGACAUGGGACCCUAACAGGUGGGCAUCUCCCUACCUGUGGAAGGGAAAGAUCACCCUCAUGGAUGGUGCCCACUCUGCUUGGGCACCAUCUGCUGGUUGGGUCGCUAAGUAAGUCACCUACCCUCUCUGAGCCUCUGUUAGCGUAUCUGACACAUGGAAAUCUGGUUGUGUUCUGUUAUGUUAAGAGACAAUGUGACCUGGACGUUUAGUACACACGCAGUCGAUAAAUCAAUGACAGCAUUGGUUACAGCAGGCCCGGGCACAGGAGGGCUGCCCGUGGGUUACUGGCAGCACAUGUCCUUGCCCAGGCUGUCUCCUCUUGCCACCCAGUCUGCACCGGCCUGCUUUCUCAUCUGCUCGCUCCUCCCCCAGUACCCGCCCCUGUUGUCUGUUGGAAUCUAAUCAAAGAGGCACACAGGCAGAUUUUUAAACAAUGCCUGCCCAGCCUAAGGUGACUCAUCCGACAGCUGUGACCUCUUACUCUCCUCCAUGUGGGCAUCAGCAGCACCAGCACGCUGUCACACAGCAAGGGUCUGGGGAACCCCCCCCCCACCCCGGGGAGGGGAGCAGGAGGGAAUGGGGCGGGCGCAUCCUCCCCUCUCCCCUGGAAUAGGCUUUUGGCAAGCUUUGGGGAAAGGUGGUUCCCCCCCCACCCCCACCCAAGACCCUCCUGUCCGAAAAGGAGCAGCUCUCUGGCUGUUGGGCAGGGUCAGGGGGAGGGGUCCCAACAUCCUCCGGCCGUCGCCUGUCAUUUCCUGCUUUUGGACCUGAUGUCACUGACAUCAAGUGUGUGAGCCGUCCCUGCCCUGAAGGCACUUUGGAGUGAUGCUGACAACCUUCAGACUGGAAAGAAAGGAGUGAAUUCCCGGUAGAAGGCUGGGCCUUGCCUGCAUUUUACAGACGGACUCAGGAUCUUCCCCUUCGCUCUGCCUGCCCUUCUUGUCUCCUGCCCUGGGUGAGAGGAUCAUAGUGAAAGCACCCCCUGCAAGCCUGAGAUGUCCAUGAUGGGAGCUGCUCUUAGCGGAUGCCGUCUCUGGCGGGACACAUGUGAUCUGCUUCAAAGAGAUUUCACUGGGAUCCUGACAUUUGGAAAACAUCAAUAGAAUAACGAAAACCCAGGAACCAUUCCAGCAAUCAAGUCGCAUGUAUUAUUCUGGAACAGUCUCACAGCCUACUUGUUUGUGCCCUCAGAGAGGGUCCAGGGGACAAGGCACCUCAAUUUCUCUUUCCCGUGAAACUCCUCUAAAAUAGCCCUGCCUGUCCUUCGACUGUGAGCACACAUUUUCAAGCUUUUAAUAAAAGUAUCUCUUUAUGAA